rnacentral:rRNA from 1 species
GACGAACGCUGGCGGCGUGCCUAAUACAUGCAAGUCGAACGCUUCUUUCCUCCCGAGUGCUUGCACUCAAUUGGAAGGAGGAGUGGCGGACGGGUGAGUAACACGUGGGUAACCUACCCAUCAGAGGGGGAUAACACUUGGAAACAGGUGUUAAUACCGCAUAACAGUUUAUGCCGCAUGGCAUAAGAGUGAAGGGCGCUUUCGGGUGUCGCUGAUGGAUGGACCCGCGGUGCAUUAGCUAGUUGGUGAGGUAACGGCUCACCAAGGCCACGAUGCAUAGCCGACCUGAGAGGGUGAUCGGCCACACUGGGACUGAGACACGGCCCAGACUCCUACGGGAGGCAGCAGUAGGGAAUCUUCGGCAAUGGACGAAAGUCUGACCGAGCAACGCCGCGUGAGUGAAGAAGGUUUUCGGAUCGUAAAACUCUGUUGUUAGAGAAGAACAAGGACGUUAGUAACUGAACGUCCCCUGACGGUAUCUAACCAGAAAGCCACGGCUAACUACGUG